rnacentral:rRNA from 1 species
GACGAACGCUGGCGGCGUGCUUAACACAUGCAAGUCGAACGAUGAACCAGGUGCUUGCACUUGGGGAUUAGUGGCGAACGGGUGAGUAACACGUGAGCAACCUGCCCCUGACUCUGGGAUAAGCGCUGGAAACGGCGUCUAAUACUGGAUAUGUGACGUGGCCGCAUGGUCUGCGUUUGGAAAGAUUUUUCGGUUGGGGAUGGGCUCGCGGCCUAUCAGCUUGUUGGUGAGGUAAUGGCUCACCAAGGCGUCGACGGGUAGCCGGCCUGAGAGGGUGACCGGCCACACUGGGACUGAGACACGGCCCAGACUCCUACGGGAGGCAGCAGUGGGGAAUAUUGCACAAUGGGCGGAAGCCUGAUGCAGCAACGCCGCGUGAGGGAUGACGGCCUUCGGGUUGUAAACCUCUUUUAGCAGGGAAGAAGCGAGAGUGACGGUACCUGCAGAAAAAGCGCCGGCUAACUACGUGCCAGCAGCCGCUGUAACAC